rnacentral:rRNA from 1 species
GACGAACGCUGGCGGCGUGCCUAAUACAUGCAAGUAGGACGCAGUUGCGAACGGGUGAGUAACGCGUAGGUAACAGCCUACUAGAGGGGGGUAACUAUUGGAAACGAUAGCCAACACCGUAUACUAGUAGAUGGACCUGCGUUGGAUUAGCUAGUAGGUAGGGUAAUGGCCUACCUAGGCAACGAGACAUAGCCGACCUGAGAGGGAGAUCGGCCACACUGGGACUGAGAAACGUCCCAGACGCCUACGGGAGGCAGCAGUAGGGAAUCUUCGGCAAUGGGGGGAACCCUGACCGAGCAACGCCGCGUGAGUGAAGAAGGUUGUCGGAUCGUAAAGCUAUGUUGUUAAGGAAGCGGUACUUAACCAGAGAGGGACGGCUAACUACGUGCCAGCAGCCGCGGUAAUUC